rnacentral:rRNA from 1 species
UACAGAGGGUGCAAGCGCUGUCCGGAAUCAUUGGGCGUAAAGAGCGUGUAGGCGGUCCGGUAAGUCGGUUGUGAAAGUCCAGGGCUCAACCCUGGGAUGCCGACCGAUACUGUCGGACUAGAGUUCGGAAGAGGCGAGUGGAAUUCCCGGUGUAGCGGUGAAAUGCGCAGAUAUCGGGAGGAACACCUAUGGCGAAGGCAGCUCGCUGGGACGUUACUGACGCUGAGACGCGAAAGCUAGGGGAGCAAACGGG